GACGUAGGGUGCAAGCGUUGUCCGGAUUUAUUGGGCGUAAAGAGCUCGUAGGCGGCUUGUUGCGUCGACUGUGAAAACCCGCGGCUUAACCGCGGGCUUGCAGUUGAUACGGGCAGGCUAGAGUUCGGUAGGGGAGACUGGAAUUCCUGGUGUAGCGGUGAAAUGCGCAGAUAUCAGGAGGAACACCGGUGGCGAAGGCGGUGGUCUGGGCCGGAACUGACGCUGAGGAGCGAAAGCGUGGGGAGCGAACAGG
rnacentral:rRNA from 1 species